GAUGAACGCUGACAGAAUGCUUAACACGUGCAAGUCAACUUGAAUUUGGGUUUUUAACUUAGGUUUGGGUGGCGGACGGGUGAGUAACGCGUAAAGAACUUGCCUCACAGCUAGGGACAACAUUUGGAAACGAAUGCUAAUACCUAAUAUUAUGAUAAUAGGGCAUCCUAUAAUUAUGAAAGCUAUAAGCGCUGUGAGAGAGCUUUGCGUCCCAUUAGCUAGUUGGAGAGGUAACGGCUCACCAAGGCGAUGAUGGGUAGCCGGCCUGAGAGGGUGAUCGGCCACAAGGGGACUGAGACACGGCCCUUACUCCUACGGGAGGCAGCAGUGGGGAAUAUUGGACAAUGGACCAAGAGUCUGAUCCAGCAAUUCUGUGUGCACGAUGAAGUUUUUCGGAAUGUAAAGUGCUUUCAGUUGGGAAGAAAGAAAUGACGGUACCAACAGAAGAAGUGACGGCUAAAUACGUGCCAGCAGCCGCGGUAAUACGUAUGUCACGAGCGUUAUCCGGAUUUAUUGGGCGUAAAGCGCGUCUAGGUGGUUAUGUAAGUCUGAUGUGAAAAUGCAGGGCUCAACUCUGUAUUGCGUUGGAAACUGUAUAACUAGAGUACUGGAGAGGUAAGCGGAACUACAAGUGUAGAGGUGAAAUUCGUAGAUAUUUGUAGGAAUGCCGAUGGGGAAGCCAGCUUACUGGACAGAUACUGACGCUGAAGCGCGAAAGCGUGGGUAGCAAACAGG
rnacentral:rRNA from 1 species